rnacentral:lncRNA from 7 species
GCGUAAUGAAUGUAGUAUCGGUGUGGAUUCGUGGAGGCACUGGUCCUCUGGUCGGUGAUUUGCAGGGAAUCAACGCGGGCGUACCACUCCGGUGAAGCCGUCCGCACUCCCACCAAAUUGAUGCACACCACGAACGCCCAAGCCUUGCUAGAUGCCGGUAGCCCUGCGGUGCUGGACGACAGAGAAGAACCGGCCGGUGGCGGCAACAAAUUCUCCGCCCAAGGAGGUAGCGCACGGACGUAUGGUGGGACGCCAAGCACAUGGACAAAGGGAGGCGAGAGAUGAACGGGAUGAGUAGAUAUAGCGCGGGCGACACCCACGACUAGGGAACAGACUUCCCCAGGAUUCACGGCGAGGUCCCGCAAUUACCGGCAAGGUCGUGGCAAGCAGGUGCUGACAUUACGGGUCCACGUGAUAGAGUAACGCGCAGUGCAGAAGCAGCUGGCGCGUGGGGCCAGUGACGCAGCAAUAGCCAGCGCGCGGAAGUGAUAGAGCGGCUGUGGGUGACUGGCGCAUAGGCCUG